CAAUUGAUUUUUUUAUCAUUCGUUGAUUUAUAAAUGUCGUCCCUAAGGAUAUUGACCUUCUGUAUUGAAUCAACAUGUAUUGUAGAAUAUUAUUUUCAUUACCCCAAAUCAGUUUAUUUAGUGUUGUUAUAGUGUGAAUAGUGUUCUUGUCGCUAUAUUAUUCUUCUUGCAAACUUAACAUUUCAGCAAAGCCAAAGAAUUUCAUACAGUUUCAUGAGGAAGCUGAACCAAGUGUCCUAAAAAAUCCUGAAACAGCUGAGGCUAACUUGUCUGCAGCAUUGCCAACAAGAG